rnacentral:rRNA from 1 species
UUUACAAUGAGAGAAACCAGCAGGCACUUUCAUAUAGUUAAAAAUUAAAUAAAGAAUAAUGAAAUUUUAGUUUUGUACCUUUUGUAUCAGGGGGCUUUAAAAGUUAAAUUAAAGAAGUUUCGAGUCGAUUGGAUCUUUAAAUUAAACAGUAAUGGCAUUUAUUGGUUUUAUUUAGAAAGAGGUGAAAAGCAGACGACGAUCGUUAUAACUAAUUGUUUUAUAAUUUAAAAGGUAAAACUUUUAAUGAUCUAUAAAAAUAAAGUGUAAAAAUAACUAAGCUUUAAAUUAGCUAGGUUGUUAAAUUGUUUCAAAUAAUUUGUAUUUAGAAAUAAAAUAGAAUUGUCUUACAAUGGUAAAAAAUAGUGAUUUCUAUUAAUAAUGAAGUUAUUGAAUAAUAAAUGAAGUUAAAAAAGGACUCGGAGUAAGUUAGAUAGUUUAACAAAAACAUUUUUAUCUGAAGAAAAGAAAAUAAAACCUGCCCAGUGCACUGUAAACGGCUGCAGUAUUUUGACUGUGCUAAGGUAGCGUAGUCAUUUGCUGCUUAAUUAGUAGCUAGAAUGAAUGGUUAAACUAUUUUAAUUGGUUUGUUAGCUUAACAGGAAAUUCAAGUAGAGGUAAAAAUUCUUCUGUUGACUAGGGGACGAUAAGACCCUAAAAGCUUAAUUAGAAGAGUACUUAUGGUUAUAGUUAAUAAAUAGUUUCACUGGGGCGGUGACAGCUUUUAAACUGUUGUGUAUUUUGAUGAUCCUGAGAUAUUCAGAUAAAAGGGGAAGUUACUUUAGGGAUAACAGUGCAAUAUAUUUGGAGAGACCAUAUCGAUAAAUAAGUUUGUAACCUCGAUGUU